rnacentral:rRNA from 1 species
GACAGAGGGUGCAAACGUUGCUCGGAAUCACUGGGCGUAAAGGGCGCGUAGGCGGCUUUGCAAGUGACGGGUGAAAUCCCUCGGCUUAACCGAGGAACUGCCUGUCAAACUGCAUGGCUUGAGACCGGGAGAGGUGAGUGGAAUUCCCAGUGUAGCGGUGAAAUGCGUAGAUAUUGGGAGGAACACCAGUGGCGAAGGCGGCUCACUGGACCGGUACUGACGCUGAUGCGCGAAAGCGUGGGGAGCAAACAGG